GAUGAGGGAGGUGUGGUUGGUUGUGUGUUGGAGCACAGAGCAUAUCUUGGUGGGGCCCUUUUUCCUGUGAAGUGGUUGCACUGUAUCCCAGGCAGCAGUCAGGAAUUGAGAUAGCAGACCAGACAGGGAGACGCAGGUCCCUUUGGAGCAGGAGGUUGACUUGACCAAAGAGAAAAGGUCUCACAACCCUAUGGAAACUUCUUCCUGCCAUGAAGCUCCAGAUUUUUCACCCAAAUCACCACGCUUCCAAAAAGAGGAAAACCUCUGUACUGAGCUGAGAUGUGUGAUAAGAUGGGGCUGAUGCGGAUAACAUCGGGGCUCUAGCUCUGGUACAUGGGUCAUAGGACUGUCUUCUGGGCACGCCGAGCGCUGCAACAUCCAACAACACAUAGAAGGGCUUAUUGGACAAAAUGCUGCCUCUGUCUCCCACAACUGGCCUUGACAUAAAACCAGCAUGAAAUAGGACUCUAUAAUUGACUGCAUUCACAUCUCCUCUGUAGUCUGAACUGAGGUGUUCAGUGGAUGAUUCACAUCUGUCAAAGAGCAUCUAGAGAGAUGGAGUUCAGUCGUUACACAAACAAGAAGCAAGUAUUUUUGCACAGAUUCAAAUCUUAUAUUUAUUUCCAUUUUAAUUGAAGUGUUUCUUGCUUAUGUAAUGCAUUUUUUUUUUAGCUUGAAGGAGUUACUUUGUAAAAGUCAACUUUUGUUUCAAAAAUUCAUCAAGUGAAUCUGAAACUGGGUCAAACUUCAGCAUUAGUGUUGGUUUUUAUGCCUUCUUGCGAUGAGAUUAUUCAGUUUAUAUGAGUUCUGGUGGCACACUGGGCUUGGUGCUUCUGCCACAAAUGUUAGGACAUUCCUGGUGUACAAAAUGUUGCCCUGCUCCUGCUUUCCCCAAGCAGUUCCCCAGUGUGGGAAAUGGCCCCUGGCCAUGGUAGAAGCUAUUGAGGAAAAUACCAUAGUAUGUUGUGAUGUCAGUACUUAAGAUAUCUCAGUCUGGGGACGUCAGCUCAUUUAAAAGGGUUUGGGGUAACUGCCUCCAAAAGCCUGGGCUUCUGUUCCUUUCCCUCACCUUGCAACAGGACCUCUGUUCCCUGUGUGGAUUCCCUUACAGGGAAAUACAGCCACUGCAGAUGCUCGGAUGAGGAUGGCUCUUGUGUAUGCAGGUCACUGCUCAUUUAGACUACAUUUUCUAAAAUGUUGUUUUGGGAAUAUUUGACCUUUGGGUGAAAGACAAUUGGAUUAACUGCUUUCAGAUGUAUUGUGUGCCCAACUCCUCUAGCACAAAAAACGUUAACCCCCUACUCCCCGAGCUUUGGCAAAAUGAUCAAUUAUUGCUAAGAGUUUUCAAAGGACACGCAGUGCCACGUAAGGUCAUUCUCAAUAAAUGUGUU
rnacentral:lncRNA from 7 species